rnacentral:rRNA from 1 species
UACGAAGGGGGCUAGCGUUGUUCGGAAUUACUGGGCGUAAAGCGCACGUAGGCGGAUAUUUAAGUCAGGGGUGAAAUCCCAGAGCUCAACUCUGGAACUGCCUUUGAUACUGGGUAUCUUGAGUAUGGAAGAGGUAAGUGGAAUUGCGAGUGUAGAGGUGAGAUUCGUAGAUAUUCGCAGGAACACCAGUGGCGAAGGCGGCUUACUGGUCCAUAACUGACGCUGAGGUGCGAAAGCGUGGGGAGCAAACAGG